rnacentral:lncRNA from 1 species
UAAAAUAUUGGUUACCGGGACCAGGCAAGGUGGGUGGGGUACAGCAUGAAUGGGAUGAUAAAGGUUAGAGGCUAUGAAGGAGCAGACAUGUAGGAUGAACUAGUCUAAAGAUCUAAUGUACAACAUGAAUGUACUAGUUAAUAAAACUGUACUGUUAAAAAAAGAAUCACGGACAGAAAAUUUUGAAAGCAAUAAGGUAAAGAAAGUUCCUCACAUACAAGGGAGUGUGGUGGCUUUCAGUGGAUUUUUCAACAAAAACUCUGCAAGCCAGGAGAGAGUUUGAUUAUGUGGUUGACACUUCAAGAAUAUAAAUUGAAGUACUUGGGUUCACUUACGUAUGGAUUUUCAUCUGCCUCUACCACCGCCAAGACCAAUCCCUCUUUUUCCUCCUUUUCCUCAGCCUACUCAACAUGAAGAUGACAAGGACAGCUCAGCCAAGCUUCUGAUUCCCUGGAACAUGGAGCACUUCAUCAGUUUGGCCGCAAAGGCACAACUGCUCUGGGGCACCUAAGCUUAGGGUCCCUGGCAGGUGAAGCAUUGCCUCAGCUUUGGCACUGGAGAAGCAGGAUGCUCUGGUAGGCUGAGACUUUGGGUCCCCAGGGGGUGAGGUGCUACUUCACUUUGGGUACCAGGGGGUGCAAAUGCUCCAGUGGGUCAAGGCUUCAGGUCCUGCCCUUUCUCUCUCUUCAUCUGAAAAGGUUGCAAUGUAAAAUUUAACUCUUUUAAUGGUUUCCUAUAAACCCUGUAGACUUUCUUCAUUCUUUUUUCCUUUUGCUCCUCUGACUGGAUACUUUCAAUUGACCUGUCUUAGAGUUCACAGAUUCUUUCUUCUGCUUGAUCAAGUCUGCUGUUGACACUGUCUAUGGCAUUUUUCAUUUCAUUCACUGUAUUCUUAAACUCCAGAGUUCUGGUUUUUCAAAAUCCUAUUUCUUCAUUGACCUCAUUGUGUUCAAGUAUCUUUUUCUAUUGUUUAGUUGUCUGUGUUCUCUUUUUAGUUAACUUAGUUUCCUUAAUUAUUUUGAAUUCUUUAUCAGGAAAUUGUUGAGUAUCCAUUUACUUUGGGUCAGUUACUAGAAAAUUAUUGCAUUCUGUUGGCGGUAUCAUGUUUGUUUUCCUUGUUUCUUUUUGCCUUGCAUUAAUAUCUGCACAUUUGAUGGUGCCGUCACCUCUUCCAGAAUUUACAUGCUGGUUUUGGUGGGGAAAGAGCUUCAACUAUGGGUGGGUGUGAAGGCAUUGGCUAGGUGAGGUGUAGUGUUUCUGGCUUGGUGAGCAUGCAACAGCUUACAUUCCCCAUGCAGCUCUGUCAGAUGAGGUCAGCAUCACUGAAAAUUGCAGCAUCCUCAGUCGCCAAGGCUAGUGGUGUCUGCAAUGGCUGUGAGGGUUGUUAGGGUCUUCAGCUACAAAGGCUGCUGGGAUCUUACUAAUCUCUUUUUCUCCCAUAGUGGAAUUCAUGCCCACAGAUAUCCCUAAAAAUUCCAGGUUCAGUUUGUGGGCAUCUUCGUGGUGGUAGUAGUGGUGGCAUCAGUGUCUGAUGUUCAGUGCCCACAAAGUGGCCAUGGUGCCAGGAUUUGGAGUAUGAGUACACAUGAAGAGUCAGUGGCUCCAGGGUCUGGGGCAGUAGGGACAUUGGUGCCUGUGGUGCAGGUCCCUCUGCAGCAGCAUUAAUAAUGGUUUGUGGGACAUGGGAACUUUUGGAGAAACAAGAAAAUGAGGUCUGGAGAGUAAAUUCAGGCAGAGCUCAGGAAUCUGAGGUGGUGUUGCAGUGGGUCCAGUGUCAUGGGUACAGGUGUUGCCCUAGGAUCUGAGGUCCAGAGCAUGGGCAUGUGCAAAUUUACUGUUGCUCUAGAGUCCACAAUGCAGAUGCAGAUGCAGAUGCUGCAGCAGUGGCUCCGGUGUCCAUAGGAGGUGUUUAUGGAGUGGCUGUAGAGCUAGAAUUUAAAGUGCAGACAUGUGUGGAGUAAAAGUGGCUCCAUGGUCCCAGGUGCAGGCUAGCUUGUCGGGAAAAUGACUUUGGAAUAUGAAACAUGGACAUGCAUGCUCCUGCAACAAAGCUGAGGCCUAGAAUGUGGGUAUGCAAAGAGUGUCUGUGGCUCUGGAGUCUGUGGCAUGCAUGGUUUUGGAUGUGAGUAGGUCCUGGCCCUGGGUAGCACAACAGUGGCUUCUUAUUGAGGCUGGAGCACAGCAGUGUCUCUCUCUCUCUCCAGGAGGUCAAAACAGCAAUGGCUGUUGGUUAACCAGCUCAGUGGAAGAGCCAGCAGUGUCCUGUGUCCUGAAGACAGAAAGGAUGAACACUAAGGGGACAUUUUUAACUUUUAUUUUAUAUUCAAGCGUACAUCUGCAGGUUUCUUAUAUAGGUAAAUUGCAUGUUAAGAAGGUUUUGUGAACAGAUUAUUUCUUUUUAUAAACAUUAGUACAAUUUAUUGAGAAAGUAAGUCUGAGUCACAGCCAGUGGAGGGAGAAGAUGAAAUUAUUGGGUUGGAUUGUUGUUGUUGUUUUAAAAAUUUAUUUUGAUUUCAAUAGUUUUGGGGGAACAAGUGGUGUCUGAUUGCAUGGAAAAGUUCUUCAGUGGUGAUUUCUGAGAUUUUGGUGCACUCGCCACCUGAGCAUGUACACAGUACCCAAUUUAUAGGCUUUUAUCCCUCAUCUCCCUCCCAUUCCCAUCCCCCUCCCAUCCUUCCCUGAGUCCCCAAAGUCUACCAUAUGUAUGCCUCUGCAUCCUCAUAGCUUAGCUCCCAUGUGUAAGUGAGACCAUAUGAUGUUUGGUUUUCCAUUCUUGAGUUACUCCACUUAGAAUAAUUGUCUGCAGCUCCAUCCAGGUUGCUGUGAAUGCCAUUAUUUCAUUCCUUCUAAUGGCUGAGUAGUAUUCCAUUUAUAUAUAUAUAUAUAUAUAUAAAAUUAAAACUAGUUAUACUUUUAUUUAAUAUUUUUAACUUUUAUUUUAUAUUCAAGGGGACAUGUGCAGGUUUCUUAUAUAGGUAAAUUAGAUGUGAAGGAGGUCUGUGAACAGAUUAUUUCUUUUUAUAAACAUUAUAUAUAUAUAUAUAUAUAUAUAUAUAUAUAUAUAUAUAUAUAUACCACAUUUUCUUUAUCCACUUGUUGGCUGAUAGGCAUUUAGGCUGGUUUCAUAUUUUUGCAAUUGCAAAUUGUGCUGCUAUAAACAUGCGUGUGCAAGUGACUUUUUCAUAUGUCUUCUUUUCCUCUGGGUAGAUACUCAGUAGUGGGAUUGCUGGAUCAAACGGUAGUUCUACUUUUAGUUCUUUGAGUAAUCCCCAUACUGUUUUCCAUAGUUGUUUUAUUUGUUUACAUUACCACCAGCAGUGUAAAAGUGUUCCCUUUUCACCACACCCAUGCCAACAUAUAUUAUUUUUGGAUUUUUUACUUAUGGUAAUUCUUGCAGGAGUAAAAUGGUAUCAUAUUGUGGUUUCGAUUUGUAUUUCCCUAAUAAUCAGCAAUGUAGUGCAUUUUUUCAUAUGUUUGUUGGCCAUUUGCAUAUCUUCUUUUGAGAAUUGUCUAUUCAUGUCCUUUGCCCACUUUUUAAUGGAACUAUUUGUUUUUUUCUUGCUGAUUCAUUUGAGUUUCUUGUAGAUUCUGGAUAUUAGUCCUUUGUCGGAUGCAUAGCUCGCAAACACUUGCACCAACUCAGGAGGCUGUUUACUCUGACGAUUACUUCUUUUGUUGUGCAGAAGCUUUUUAGUUUAAUUAAGUCCCAUCUAUUUGUUUUUUGUUUUUGUUGAAUUUGCUUUUGGUUUUUUGGUCAUAAACUCUUUGCCUAAACCAAUGUCUAGAAGAGUUUUUUCAAUGUUAUCUUCUAGAAUUUUUAUGGUUUCAGGUCUUAGAUUUAAGUCUUUGAGCCAUCUUGAGUUGACUUUUGUAUAAGAGACAAGUAUCCAGCUUUAUUCUUCUACAUGUGGUUUGCCAAUUAUCCCAGAACCAUUUGUUAAAUAGGGUCUCCUUUUCCCACUUUAUGUUUUUGUUUGCUUUGUCAAAGAUCAGUUGGCUGUAAGUAUUUGGCUUUAUUUCAGUGUUUUCUAUGCUCUUCGAUUUGUCUACUUGCCUAUUUUUAUACUAGUACCAGGGUGUUUUGGUAACAUAGCCUUGUAGUAUAGUUUGAAGUCGGGUAAUGUGAUGCCUCUAAAUUUGUUCUUUUUUAGUCUUACUUUGGCUUUGUGGGAUUUUUGGUUCCAUAUGAAUUUUAGAAUUUCUUCUAGUUCUGUGCAGAAAGAUGAUGUUACUUUUAUGGGAAUUGCAUUGAAUUUGUAGGUUGCUUU